rnacentral:rRNA from 1 species
CAGCAGCCGCGGUAACACGGAGGGGGCUAGCGUUGUUCGGAAUUACUGGGCGUAAAGCGCACGUAGGCGGCUUGGUAAGUUAGAGGUGAAAGCCCAGGGCUCAACCCUGGAAUUGCCUUUAAGACUGCCGAGCUAGUAGGUGAGAGAGGUAAGUGGAAUUCCGAGUGUAGAGGUGAAAUUCGUAGAUAUUCGGAAGAACACCAGUGGCGAAGGCGGCUUACUGGCUCAUUCUAGACGCUGAGGUGCGAAAGCGUGCGGAGCAAACAGGAUUAGAUACCCGCGUAGUCCCUGUCUCUUAUAC